rnacentral:rRNA from 1 species
GAUGAACGCUAGCGGCAGGCCUAACACAUGCAAGUCGAGGGAGAAGCCCUUCGGGGCAGAAACCGGCGCACGGGUGCGUAACGCGUAUGCAACCUACCUUUCACAGGGGGAUAGCCCGAAGAAAUUUGGAUUAAUACCCCAUAAUAUUAUUGGAUGGCAUCAUUUGAUAAUUAAAAUUACGAUGGUGAAAGAUGGGCAUGCGUCCUAUUAGCUAGUUGGAGUGGUAACGGCACCCCAAGGCUACGAUAGGUAGGGGUCCUGAGAGGGAGAUCCCCCACACUGGUACUGAGACAGGGACCAGACUCCUACGGGAGGCAGCAGUGAGGAAUAUUGGUCAAUGGUCGGAAGACUGAACCAGCCAUGCCGCGUGCAGGAAGAAUGCCUUAUGGGUUGUAAACUGCUUUUAUAUGGGAAGAAUAAGGAGUAC